UGUUAGUUAGCUGACGCUUUUCCUGAAGGAUUUGGCUUGCAUUCUGAAUAUGCAACUUCCCUCUGCAAUGGUAAAAGAAUGGUUUGCUUAAGAGAUGCCAAGCCCUACUUACAAUGUCCUUUCAAGUGGGAAUCAUGAUGAGCUUUGUCCCUCAUCUCGUAUAAGGUUUGGGGACUGCUCUAGCUGUGUCUUAGCUGCAGGAUCGGUGUUAAGGUUCUCCAGGAGCUCUAUUUAUUUGGCUUGAAGAUCAUGAGGCUGAGAUCAAGUAAUGCAGUUUAUUUUCCUGGCCCUUAAUCUGCAGACUUACGUGCAAGAGCUGAGAACCUUUCUUCUCACAUGCAGCAUUGGUACACCUCUUUAAUCUUCCGUCUAAUGCAGUUGGCACUGAAACCAGAAAUAUUUAAUCAUUGCAUACUUCUUGUCAGUGACCAGAAGGACAAGAAAACAAAUCCAGGAAGACACAGGCAUGAAACUGAAGUGAAGAGUUUGGAAGAAGAUGCUAAUCUGGAAUUUAUCUUGGUGAAGUCAAAAGAAAUUUUAUUGGAAUGGAGGAAUGGAGGUCUGAGAGGCUAUUAAACAGAAAGAUGUAACCACAAGCAAAUCACAGAACCAAACAGAGUAUUCAAGUCUGCCUCCAAUCAGCACAUGUAAUUUCCUUUUGAAGUUUGAUGUAUUCAAUAGAUGCAUAUUUUUCCCCCAUCUAAUCUAUGUGCAUAUUUUUGGAUUGAGCAGGAUUUGCAUUUAUAUUACAAACUAAAUCCUCACAAGCCUGAAUCCAUUGCACUGGAUUUCUACUUCAGAACAUCAUGCUUAUUGAAAAUCCUGUCACUAGUUUGUAAUCAAAUUGUAUAACCCUCUGCAUUUAACUUUGUUUCAACAUGAAGUUAAAAGUUGCUAGCAAUGAAAUUUAGGACAUACUUUGCAUGACCUAGAAGAGAUGCCAUACAUAUGGUGCAAAGAUGCCUCUGUCAAGCCAUGAAACUGCAAUCGUUUGAUUAGGUAUUUUAUUUUUCACGUGUUGGCUUUCAAAUUUGGCAUGAUUCCAAUUGGCAGAUGACUCCAGUGCAAAUCCAAAUUAAGUAUUUAGUAAUCAUUGCUCUUGGGAGUGUCCAAUGAUUGUAAACAUUCUGGCACCAGACUAAGGCAUUAAUGGAGCAAUUUGUGUAGUGGCAAAUUGAUUAAUUUGAUGUACUGUUUUGUUUGAGGAUAUUGCAGGUUUUCAGAGAUGAAGUAGAAAAAUUCAGUGGAGCAACUGUUUCCUUGGUGAAGAAGCAUACUUUUUAAUCAAAUAGAUCAGGAUAUAUGCUCUUGGCAAGAUGGUAUGAACACUUGCAUACAGAAAACUUUGGAUUUGGAGACAAUAUCAGCAAAAGGAAGAUACAGAUGUUUAGUUUGGAAUGCCAUCACUGAGCUGCUGCUGAGAGGAAAAAAUGGCUUGUGGUUAAGGCAGUGAACUGAGAUUUCUGAGAUCUGAGUUUAAGCCCUUGGCUAUCACAGACUCCAUGUGUGACAUUUGGAAAAUCUUUAAUCUCCCCAUGUCUACGUUCUCCACUUGUAAAAAAGGGUUGAUAAUGUUAAUUCUUUGUCUGCUUUAUCUAAUUAAACUGUAAGUGAGUUGAAA